GUUGCUUUUCAAUCUCUCUCUGAAUUGAUUCAUACAAGUCAUGAGGUUGAAGUAAAGGAUGAUGGUGAGGCUGAGGCUGAGGCUGAGGCUGAGGCUGAGGCUGAGGCUGAGGCUGAGGCUGAGGCUGAGGCUGAGGCUGAGGCUGAGGCUGAGGCUGAGGCUGAGGCUGAGGCUGAGGCUGAGGCUGAGGCUGAGGCUGAGGCUGAGGCUGAGGCUGAGGCUGAGGCUGAGGCUGAGGCUGAGGCUGAGGCUGAGGCUGCGGGUGAGGCUGAGGGUGAAGUUGACUACGGUCUUGCAAGUACUCACAAUGGAAACGACCUGCAAAUGAGCCCGUAUAGCCAGCUGAAACAACAGAGUAAAAUUAUCAAAAAUAUUGACAGUAGCCGAUCAGAAAAUCCCAAGAUAAAAAAUAAUCCAAACUUGAUCGAUAGACAGAGAAAAAAAU
rnacentral:lncRNA from 1 species